GGAAGUAAAAGUCGUAACAAGGUCUCCGUUGGUGAACCAGCGGAGGGAUCAUUACCGAGUUUACAACUCCCAAACCCAAUGUGAACGUUACCAAACUGUUGCCUCGGCGGGGUCACGCCCCGGGUGCGUCGCAGCCCCGGAACCAGGCGCCCGCCGGAGGAACCAACCAAACUCUUUCUGUAGUCCCCUCGCGGACGUAUUUCUUACAGCUCUGAGCAAAAAUUCAAAAUGAAUCAAAACUUUCAACAACGGAUCUCUUGGUUCUGGCAUCGAUGAAGAACGCAGCGAAAUGCGAUAAGUAAUGUGAAUUGCAGAAUUCAGUGAAUCAUCGAAUCUUUGAACGCACAUUGCGCCCGCCAGUAUUCUGGCGGGCAUGCCUGUCCGAGCGUCAUUUCAACCCUCGAACCCCUCCGGGGGAUCGGCGUUGGGGAUCGGGACCCCUCACACGGGUGCCGGCCCCGAAAUACAGUGGCGGUCUCGCCGCAGCCUCUCCUGCGCAGUAGUUUGCACAACUCGCACCGGGAGCGCGGCGCGUCCACGUCCGUAAAACACCCAACUUUCUGAAAUGUUGACCUCGGAUCAGGUAGGAAUACCCGCUGAACUUAAGCAUAUCAAUAAGCGGAGGAU
rnacentral:rRNA from 1 species